UCCACAGAAAAACCAAUUGUCAGAGCCUCAUUUGUGUCUUCUGUAUGGAACUGCCAUUGAUGAUUCAUGAAUGGUGUUUGUGAGUGGAUUAAGAGCUACCACAGCUAAUUCAUGUGGGCUGAACUGCUGAUAUCCUGAUCACGCAGAUGGGAUUCGUCCCAAAGAACUCUUUCUAAACAGACCUCUCCAACUGUUUUGAGGUAGUUUGGAGACUCUGCUUUUUCCAGGCUGCAGGGUUCGUCGGU